rnacentral:rRNA from 1 species
GCGAUUCGCCCUUCGGGGUGCCCAGGCGCGAAAACUUUACAAUGCCGGCAACGGCGAUAAGGGAACCUCGAGUGCCAGGUUACAAAUCUGGCUGUCGUGAUGCCUAAAAAGCAUUGCAUAGCAAGGGCCGGGCAAGACCGGUGCCAGCCGCCGCGGUAACACCGGCGGCUCGAGUGGUAACCGUUAUUAUUGGGUCUAAAGGGUCUGUAGCCGGCCGGGUAAGUCUCUUGGGAAAUCUGGCAGCUUAACUGUCAGGCUUUCAGGAGAUACUGCCUGGCUCGAGGCCGGGAGAGGUGAGAGGUACUUCAGGGGUAGGGGUGAAAUCUUGUAAUCCUUGAAGGACCACCAGUGGCGAAGGCGUCUCACCAGAACGGACCUGACGGCAAGGGACGAAAGCUAGGGGCACGAACCGGAUUAGAUACCCGGGUAGUCCUAGCCGUAAACGAUACUCGCUAGGUGUCGGCCACGGUGCGACCGUGGUCGGUGCCGUAGGGAAGCCGUGAAGCGAGCCACCUGGGAAGUACGGCCGCAAGGCUGAAACUUAAAGGAAUUGGCGGGGGAGCAC